GACGAACGCUGACGGCGUGCUUUAGACAUGCAAGUCGAACGAGAAAGCCCUUCGGGGUUAGUAAAGUGGCGAACGGGUGAGUAACACGUGGGCAAUCUGCCCUUCGUUGGGGGACAACCGGGGGAAACCCCGGCUAAUACCCCGUAAGCUUGUCGGGUCGCAUGGCCUGACAAGGAGAGGUAGCUUCGGCCAUCCGGCGACGGAGGCGCUCGCGGUACAUUAGCUAGUUGGUGAGGUAAAGGCCCACCAAGGAGACGAUGUAUAGCUGGUCUGAGAGGAUGAUCAGCCACACUGGGACUGAGACACGGCCCAGACUCCUACGGGAGGCAGCAGUCGGGAAUCUUGCACAAUGGGCGAAAGCCUGAUGCAGCAACGCCGUGUGAGCGACGAAAGCCCUAGGGUCGUAAAGCUCUGUUGUUAGGGACGAAGGGCGAAGGGUUAAUAGCCCUUAGCCUGACGGUACCUUUCGAGGAAGCCCCGGCUAACUACGUGCCAGCCGCCGCGGUAAGAC
rnacentral:rRNA from 1 species